AGUAAUUCUAGAGCUAAUACAUGCGCAAAUCCCGACUUCUGGAAGGGACGUAUUUAUUGGAUAAAAGGCCAGCCGGACUUCGGUCCGUCCUGUGUUGAAUCAUGAUAACUUCACGAAUCGCAUGGCCUUGUGCCGGCGAUGUUUCAAUCAAAUAUCUGCCCUAUCAACUUUCGACGGUAGGAUAGAGGCCUACCGUGGUUUUUACGGGUGACGGAGGAUCAGGGUUCGAUUCCGGAGAGGGAGCCUGAGAAACGGCUACCACAUCCAAGGAAGGCAGCAGGCGCGUAAAUUGCCCAAUCCCGACACGAGGAGGCAG
rnacentral:rRNA from 1 species